rnacentral:rRNA from 1 species
UACGGAGGGGGCUAGCGUUGUUCGGAAUUACUGGGCGUAAAGCGCACGUAGGCGGUUUUGUAAGUUAGAGGUGAAAGCCUGGAGCUCAACUCCAGAACUGCCUUUAAGACUGCAUCGCUUGAAUCCAGGAGAGGUGAGUGGAAUUCCGAGUGUAGAGGUGAAAUUCGUAGAUAUUCGGAAGAACACCAGUGGCGAAGGCGGCUCACUGGACUGGUAUUGACGCUGAGGUACGAAAGCGUGGGGAGCAAACAGG